AAAAACAAAAACUCAAGAGGCUCUGUUUUCCCAUGUUCAGUUUGUGGUGGGAAAGUAAUUAACAAAGAGGGGGACGAUGGGAAGAAGUAGGAGUCCAACAAAUUUAACACAGUACUGGUGAGGCUCAUCAUCAUCUUCAUCAUAAUUUCAGUUUCAGGCUUUCAGUCUGCCCUGCAUCUGCAGGUUAUGGGAAAACAUGCUUCGGAAGACUGGAGAUCUCGCAGCGAGCACCGCACGAUGGGCUCCAAUGCUUCCAUCAGAAGCAUUGAUUAUGAUGUCUGUGUGGAUGCUUUCAGAUAACAUUCGACCAAGGGAUGAAAGAGCUGUGACAGAUGAUUGCUUUUGUGCAAAUCCCUCGGACCAGAUGGAACAAGGCUCUCCACCCUGCUUUCAACAAGAUGAAUCAAAUUCUUAGAAUAUGGACAAGGAAUCAACAUCAGCAGUGCUCUUUCCCCUCGGCCCCUCCCCAACCAGAAAAAAUAAAAGAAAAAAGAAUCCCCAAUUUUCUUUGCUCUAUUUUUUUGCAAGGGAUUUGAUCCACAGAAAAUUGUGCCGUUAAUACUAUAGUGUGCGUAUGCCGGCUAAGUUUCUCAUGGACAGCGAAAGUAAAUAGAAGCAUACGUUUGGAGAGGCAGUCUUCAAGUCAAGGAAUUCAAUGUCGAUGAUGAAUUUCCCAGUCAGUGGAACCUCAAUUGCCCAAACAAAGUCAUCAUUGUUCUUGA